GGGCUGCAAGCAGUAGGGGGCGAGCCUUCGCCCGGCUGAGGGGCCGGGUACUGCGUGCCCGGAAAGGUGGUCCGGGCCUCGAAGAGAGCUUUCGGAGGGAGGGCCGUCGGGCCAGCCGCUGUGUUCGGCUUCUUACUCAAUAAUAAUAAUUAACAAGUCUACACUUCCACGUUCUCUUGCUCGUGUAGUGCCAGGCACUGUUAGAGACUUUGAAUAAUAAUGCAAGUACUUAUUGUAAACAUGAUGUUUAUGGUGACUGAUACGUGCUAGGCACUAUGACAGAUCGUAAAUGAUAAUUAUAAAUAUAAUAAACUACCAAAUUAUUAUUUACUUAUUUUUUUGCCACUCUGGUGAUGCUUUCAAUAACAACAAACAACUGUCAUAAAUAAAAGCUGCUCCACAUUAAAUCUUUGCCAUGCAACCAGCACCGUCCUGGAUCCUUCGCUAAUAGACACCAUUUAUUCAUGCAACAAAGGCUACAGAAUACAAUGAUGAGAAAAAUUUACCUUAUUCCACCUUCCUGCUAGAAUCGAGUGAAGAGACAUCCUUUGAGUAAGUAACCACACAGAUACUGAGGCUGGCUUGCUAGAGCAGCAAUUCAUUCCCUCACCACAGUGAGGACGGCACUGUGCAGUCUCCUCCCGUUGUUUACUUUUCAAGAGUCAGACAGCAAUCUCAUCAUCAUUCCUUCACACGUAGCAAGGGCUUACGGCACAGCAGGGACUCAACAGAUGUAAGAGCGAGUGAAGAAAUGAAGGAACGAAUGCAUGAAUAAAGAUCCAGGAUCACCAGUGGUGGAAGUUUCAGGACAAACUUGUGCAUAGGAUUUGUAAAAACCCUUGGAAGACCCAGCAGCUCAAACCCACCCUGGAUGGCGGAUGGGGCAGUCAAAGUCAGAAGUUCCUGACCAUUUUCCAAAAAGGGUUUGGAGGCCCCUCCAGAAUUAGGCAGAAGGACAUGGGAAGGGCUUUCUCCUCUGCUGAGGGUCUCAGGAACCUAGGUGUCUGUUGCAAGUUUGCACAGCAGGGGGAAAAGAUGAAGAGUUUGCCCCUCCUUGCCCAGGAGAAAGAUCUUCCUAUCGCGCCGAAUUCCCUCAGUUCUUUAUUCCUGUGAGCAACCAGGGGAUGGAUUCCUGGUCCCCAUCUCUGUGCCUGGUGCAUAAAAAGUGC
rnacentral:lncRNA from 1 species